rnacentral:ncRNA from 2 species
AUGAGAAUAAGGGGAGAGACUAUAGCUAAGGUAUAUAGCGCCGAAGGAGCAAACAUCUGUGAAUCUCUCAGGCAAAAAGACUCUUAUUUGACG